rnacentral:rRNA from 1 species
UACAGAGGGUGCAAGCGUUAAUCGGAUUUACUGGGCGUAAAGCGUGCGUAGGCGGUUCAUUAAGUCGGUUGUGAAAUCCCUGGGCUUAACCUGGGAACUGCAGUCGAUACUGGUGAACUAGAGUGCGGCAGAGGGGGUUGGAAUUCCACGUGUAGCAGUGAAAUGCGUAGAGAUGUGGAGGAACACCGAUGGCGAAGGCAGACCCCUGGGUCGACACUGACGCUCAUGCACGAAAGCGUGGGGAGCAAACAGG